CUUGGGAAUUCUUUUGCUUGUGGCUGCCGAAAUUAAAGAGAGAAGGAGAGAGAGAGAGAGAGAGAGAGAGGUGUGAAAGAGAGAGAGGGAGGAGAAGAAAUGAAGAAGAAGGAAGAGGUCUUAGGGUAUUCAAGGGUGAUUAUCACUUGGGUGUUGAUCAAGUUGUGUUCUUGAUUUUACAAUCAAGAGAGGUUCGUUGAGAAGUUGUGGUUUUACUUAGCUUGGACCUGAGGUAGCAAAUAUGUUUCUCUGUGGCACGUGUGGUGAUGUGGGGAGUUCUGUCGUCUUGGUGUGUAUGGCGUGGGCAUCCUAUGGACGAGAAAUCAUCAAUUCUAAAUGCCAUUUUUAAUAAUGUUAUGUUUUAUGGAAUUUUCUUAAAAUUGUUAGUGGGACUUAAACUUUUUGUUUGUUUUAGAUCUUUGCGUGAAAACUGAUAUUUUCUUUUUGAACUAUUGGGCACAACUUGCAUGUUUUAAGCAAGACCCCACUAAAACAUUUAUAAUAAGUGGCUUUUCUAUUAUAAACCAAUGAAAAUGUGAAUGUUUUAUU